AAACUUUCAACAAUGGAUCUCUUGGCUCUCGCAUCGAUGAAGAACGCAGCGAAAUGCGAUAAGUAAUGUGAAUUGCAGAAUUCCGUGAAUCAUCAAAUUUUGAACGCAAAUUGGCAC
rnacentral:rRNA from 1 species